rnacentral:rRNA from 1 species
AAACCAACAGGGAUUGCCUCAGUAACGGCGAGUGAAGCGGCAAAAGCUCAAAUUUGAAAUCUAGCACCUUCGGUGUUCGAGUUGUAAUUUGAAGAUGGUAACCUUGGGUUUGGCUCUUGUCUAUGUUCCUUGGAACAGGACGUCAUAGAGGGUGAGAAUCCCGUCUGAUGAGAUGCCCA